CUCUCUCUCUCUCUCUCUCUCUCUCUCGUUUCUAUUUCUAUAUAAACCCCCAACAGCCCUUCCACUUCUUCUCACAGCAACAAAUUAGCAAAGCAAUAUAUGUUCCUAUUCAAUGGAACAUGGUCUAUCUAUAUGAAAGCAGUCUUAAUUUUUGGUAUUGCUAGCGAGCUAGCUUGCUACUAAUUAAUCAGUAAAUAGGUGUUUAGUUAUCUAAUUUACUUAAUUAAUUGUAAAAAGGGUAAGAGGAGGUGACAGAAGAGAGUGAGCACACAUGGUAUUUUCUUGCAUGCUUUGAGAUCCUGCUUGAAGCUAUGCGUGCUCACUCUCUAUCUGUCACCCCAACCCCCCGCCCCCAAAAAUAUCCCUCUCUAUUUGUAUUUUCAUUUAUAUAUUAUGCAUAAUGAUUUCAUUUGCUAGUUGUAUUUUGUAUGUAGUAGCUUCAUAAUUGAUUCUCCAUGGUUUUGCCCUUAUUAAAUCGAUCUGCUGUUUCAUUUUAGGCACGGAUUUGUCUGCAGACUUGCACCGGUAUAUGUCUGUGCCCUAAUUCUGCAUUUGGGUGCCGGCAUAUUCUUUUUCGGUGUACUUGUGGGGUUUCUUCAGUUUUUGUAUGUUAUUAAUACAUACAGCAGAGCAUAAUCAUCACUAUAUAAUAUAUGUGGGAGCUAGACACCACAUUAAGUUCACCCUGAUCAGGUACCGUGCUUAUUUUCAGCAAUUUUACACUACCGUAUUUUGAAACUGUUGCGUUCCAACUGUUGAGAAAUUUAGGGUUUAGGCUCAAUUUCAGGGAUUAAGAUUCAGUAUUGAUCUGAUUUUGGGUAUGACUUUUUAUAAAUUUGUGAUUAGUAAUUGUUGGAUAUACGAGAUUAAAUCUCAUCCGUACAUUGUUAUAAAUGUACACGUUUCACAAGAUUUUUAAAUGAUUAGCACAACUUAAAAAUCAAUUAAAGAUCCAUAUUUCAAUUUUCAGGCCUGAUCAGGAGUCACUCGGUGAAGACAGCUGAAUCUUGGCCUUAGAAUCGUGAAAUUAUGAAAGCUGCAACUACGUAAGCAACAAUACAUAUAUAUCUUGAAAGUCACAAUAUUGUCAUUUAUAACAGCUUUCUUCCGUAUCACAAUAGAAGGUCCUGCAUGCUUUUAAUUGCAUGCCCACAAUAAGCGGUAUCAAAAUUCUUUGCUGAUUCAAUUGACGAUAUGCUGGCUGGACCCAAUAUGUAUACAUGUAUGUAGUUUGUUUAAAACCCUUUUCUUGCCAGAAAGAAUUAAUGUAUUAGCCCUCUUGUACCUUUAUUGGAAACACAAUAUAAGUUAUUUGCUAAAUUGGGUAGUUUGUAAUUGUAGUCUUGAUCGAUCAUAUGGUGGCACAAUGGUUUUGAUUGCCACACGGUAAUUUAGUUAAUGUCAACAUCAUAUGAUCAUCAAAUGGUUAUUAUAUAUAUAGAUAUAUAGCAUAUUAUCCCAGCUUGUUCCUUCAAUUAUAUAUGUUUUUUAUUAGUUAUAUUCCUCAUCUUAUGUGGUGGAUCUGAUGCUAAACUAAAUGUAUUGGACUUCUACUAUCAUGCAGAUCAAUUCUCUCUUUUUCAAUUGACUACAAGGCCUUUUAGGAUAAUUCAUGUUCUUAUGAUGAUUAUAUCUGUGAAUUAGAAAUUAACUUAUAUAAGUGAAUCACUUGCUACAGAUUUAGUUAUUCGUUAAUACAUUUUCUGGAUAUAUAUUUGAUUUUAUUUGAAUCUAUAACCUAUCCUUAUUUGGUUCCAUAUUGAAAUUUUACCAGAAAAGGUUUCCAGGCCUUACAACAAACUCAAAACCAGAAGCCACCAUUUCUUGAAAACAAUUUAUACAUACAAUGGCUUCGAUCCCUUUUGAGCAAAGAAGAAGAAGAAGAAAUCUAAGAUGAGCAGAGGACCCUUAUCUCGGUUUUUGGUUUUUAUCUGAAGGGAGGGCGGUGAAGGAAUGUACAAAUUAUACUUAUAUGAAUGAUGCUCAUUCUGACUAUAUGUAAAAGUUCGACAAAGAGUUUAUAUUACGCCAAAGCUUAUUAAUUAACUAUAGUAACUCGAUAAAUUUACUUUGUGUAUGUGAAUACAUGGGAGAAGUCAUACGCAUUCAUUUGAAAUUUGUACUUAGAAUGAUAAGAAAUAUGCAUAGAGUUAAGAAAAUUUAACCAGCUGUGAUAUGUCAAGAUUUUGAAUCUUAAUAAAAUUGAGUUAAAACGUUGAGAAUACAAGUAAAAUCUCUGUUAUAAAGAUUCAUGUAUACUUUGACCAUCACCAGUUUAAUAUUAGACAUCUCAAAACUUAUUUGGAAAUAUCUAUUUCCAAUAAAUUGGUAUUUUCAUUAAGUGGUG
rnacentral:lncRNA from 1 species